GGAAGGUUAGCGAAGUGGUCAAACGCGGCAGACUGUAAAUCUGUUCUCUAGGGUUCCAUGGUUCGAAUCCAUGACCUUCCA
rnacentral:tRNA from 1 species